rnacentral:lncRNA from 1 species
CAUUUGUUGGAUAGGUACGUUUGUGUACUGGACAUGGAAAAUUGUCAUGCUGUUACUGAAUAGAAAUUAUAUUUACUUGAACAUUUUAUAUGCCAUUUCACUGAUAAAGGUACAUGGGUCCUUUUUUUUCUACAGAAACACUGUAAAAGAAGAUGACUCAAUGUUGUUCAGAUGACCAUGAGAUCAUUGACCAUACACUCCGUAAUCUUUUGCUUUUGGAAUGUGCUUUAGACUAUAUUUAUAUGCUCCUAUUGCUAAUAAUAUCAAAACUCCAAGACUGCAUUAUAGCUCCUUUGAUGACCAUCAGCAGGGAAAUUUUACUAUGUUUGUGAAUAGAAUUGUGAUACCCGGUCGAUAUGUGUCCUGUACCAACAGGAACACACAAUGACCUUUAUGGUAUUAUGUCAAAUUUGAUGAACUUUUAUUUCAUUUCAUGUAGUAAUCAUUUUUUAUCUGUAAUAUGUUACAGAAUAAAACAUUUUAAAACUUACAAA